rnacentral:rRNA from 1 species
CCUACGGGAGGCUGCAGUGGGGAAUAUUGCACAAUGGGGGAAACCCUGAUGCAGCGACGCCGCGUGAGUGAAGAAGUAUUUCGGUACGUAAAGCUCUAUCAGCAGGGAAGAAAAUGACGGUACCUGACUAAGAAGCCCCGGCUAACUACGUGCCAGCAGCCGCGGUAAUACGUAGGGGGCAAGCGUUAUCCGGAUUUACUGGGUGUAAAGGGAGCGUAGACGGCAGCGCAAGUCUGGAGUGAAAUCCCAUGGCUUAACCAUGGAACUGCUUUGGAAACUGGGCAGCUAGAGUGCAGGAGAGGUAAGCGGAAUGCCUAGUGUAGCGGUGAAAUGCGUAGAUAUUAGGAGGAACACCAGUGGCGAAGGCGGCUUACUGGACUGUAACUGACGUUGAGGCUCGAAAGCGUGGGGAGCAAACAGGAUUAGAUACCCCUGUAGUC